rnacentral:lncRNA from 1 species
UCACUGUCCUCUACUAGUAUCUUGUCAAUGGUGACUCCUGAUUGAAUUUUUAUGACUCCAAUUCUCAAUCGUCAACCUACCUUCCAGUUGGCACUUGAAUGAGAUACGGAGGAACUGGUUCAGCAAACAAGUGGAUGUUCCGUAAAAUUUAGUUCAUCGCAUCAAGCAACUAAGAGCUGAUCAACAGCUAAUAAAAAAAUAGAAUAGUGUCCAUAAAGAAAUGUUGAAUCCCCGAAAGUAAGAGUUUCCAUCUGACGCCAAGCAAACAGUGGAUGGUCUUUCUGAUUUUUUUCCCUGUUAUGCUGCACACUGUGUGAUCUCUCUCAUCAGAGACCGUGAUUUAAAUUUCCCUGUCCUAUUUCGAGUCUGGAAGGAUACAAUGAUGGAACUAGAAAAUUUGAAAGGAGAACGUGAACGAAAACUUUCGGGAAUGGAAGAAGAACUUAAGCAAUUUCAAAAACUUAAAGCUGAGAAUGAGAGACUGCGAGCAGAAAACCGAACAUUGACUCGGGUUGUGACUAAACUGACAGCCUCUGCAAAUGCUGUAAAAUAGGUAACCUCUGACCAAACUGUCAAGGAGUGAGCUUGGCUGCUUUUGUCCUGUAAAAAGUUUUUUGCAGUUGAGAGUGAUGUGACAUAACCCAGCAAAAAUUUCCGAUUUGAAUUUUCCCUUUUUUCCUGGUUUGUUUGGCGUUUUUGCUUUGAACUGAACGGUCUGUAAAUGUUGAGCUCCAAAGUAAAAACUGGAAAAUUUUCAAGUUUUGGGGGAGAAAGCUGCCAUUUUAAGCUAGUGGACUGGUCUGAACUGGAUUGUUUCUCCUGCAAGUCUCCUCAGUAUUCCUUGUAGAAAAGUUGCAUUCAAUAAUGUUUUUUUAAGUUAACUUUGAAUCUACAGAGUGUCCCAGACCACCUGCAUCUGGCUUUUUUCUCGGUUAUUUUAGUCGAGGGUUCUAGGGAAAAAUAAGGAAUUUAUCCUAAGAAAUCUGAAUUUCAUUAUUCCAUCA